UCUGGUGGCACUUCCUCACUGGCCACACCCGUUCCCAUCCCGAACACGGAAGUUAAGCAGUGUUGGGCCGAUGAUACUUGGGGCCAACCCGCCCCUGGGAAAGUAGGUAGCCGCCAGGA
rnacentral:rRNA from 1 species